rnacentral:lncRNA from 10 species
CUUGAGAUAAUAAUAACUGAUUACAUGUAUAUAUAAAUAUGGAGAAAUUUAUUGAGUUAUACACUUAGGAUUUUUGUAUUUUAUUUAUAUAAAUUAGACUUCAAUUUUAGAAUAUAAAUUAAAUCUGAUGCUAAUGGCAAAUUGAGAAUAUUUAACCAAUCUCUUAAGGAUGGCUUAAUUGAAAUAGAAAAUGGGGACGUAGUAUUUUUAAAAUCCCCUUUAAGCCAUAGGAGAACUACUAAAACAGUAAGAAACAAAAAACAGGUAAACAAAAAAGCUGGCCAAGAUCUAGGACAAGACAGAAAUUCAGAGAUGCAACUGGUGCCAUAGAGGUCGGUCUGCUUUUCUCCUGGGGACGUUUGAUAAUUCUGCCUGGAAAAGCCAACUAUAAGAAUGAGAGGCGAAGAGGCUGAAGAGUGCUUCUUUGUUGUUUGUUUGUUUGGUUUUUUUUUUUUUUUUGAGACAGAGUCUCACUCUGUCACCCAGGCUGGAGUACAGUGGCGCAAUCUCGGCUCACUGCAACCUCCGCCUCCUGGGUUCAAGCAAUUCUCCUGCCUCAGCCUCCCAAGUAGCUGGGAUUACAGGCGCACGCCACCAUGACUGGCUAAUUUUUUUUAUAUUUUUAGUAGAGACGGGGUUUCACCAUGUUGGCCAGACUGGUCUUGAACUCCUGACCUCGUGAUCCGUCCGCCUCAGCCUCCCAAAGUGCUGGGAUUACAGGCGUGAGCUACCGUGCCCGACCUGAAGAGUGCUUCUAUUACUUCACAAGACAAAAGGGACACAAGUUGGAUACCAAGGCCCACCAUAGCAGUGGUACCACAGGGGAGCAUGGUCUCUUCAGCCUCACCCUCAGGUUCUCACCGUGGGCUCCACUGGGCAUCCAUAGGACCCUUCAGUCAUCAGCUUAGGUGCCUCUUCCUCCAGGAAGCUCGCCUUCAUCUUCCCGGGCUGGUUUAAGGGCACUUUCCGUGCCAUGUGCUCAAUUCCUUGUGUCCCCACUAAACCUCAGAUCCCACAGGAGCAGUGGCGGUGUCUGCCGGGUUCUCGCUCUGUCUUCUGCUCUGCUAAGGUGCCUGGCACACCAUGCUCUCGAUCCCAGAUGAGUGAAUGACCUGACUCAGGGAGCAGGGGAGACUGAGGCAGAUGAGAAGCUCCCGCCGAGGCCACCAGGAUGCCCAGGCCUUGGGGCUCCAGGAAACGUGGUCUCCACGCUCAAUCUCGGCUCAGCCUUCCCCAGAAGAUGCCUCUAGCCGGACAGAGCUGGGUUUUAAUCAUGCCGCCUUCAUAAGCCAGGUGCAUGAUCUCUGGCUAGUUAACUACAGGUGCAUUUCCUUAACCUAUUUAAAAAAGGGGUGGGGGGAUGGUUAGGAACUCUUGCCUGGUUGUGUUGUUGUUACAAUUAAAUCAUGAAUAUGGAGCAUUUGAUGCAGUGCUCAGAAUAGAAGCUACUCUUAAAAGCAAUCCACUCAUAAUAGGGAACGAAGGUUCUAGAAUGGCUACUUUUUAAAACUAUAAAUCAGAACAGAUUCAAUAUAAGAACAUCACUCUCAAUUCUUACUCACUUCCAUUCUGGAGUAGCAGAGAAAGAAGCAGAGGGGCCACUGGCUGCAGAGGGAAUGGCCCAGAGCUCACAGCCUGUCCUGGUUAAGUGGCAGCCAUGGGGAGGCCCUAGAGAAAUGUCACCAAGAACUGUGGAGACAGCAAGGAGUAAAUGCUAGCACUGAUUGUCUGCCAAAUGCCAUUCAAUGAACUACAUUCUUUACAAGCAUUGACUCAUUUACUUCUCACACCACCCCUACAAAUAGGUGUCAUUAUCAUCCCCAUUAUUUUAGAGAUGAGAAAGCUGGGACAUUCACAGAUUGGGGACCCAGACCAAAGUCACACUGCAUCUAAGCAGCAAAACUGAAAUUGUAGCCAGGUGUUCUGGCUCCAGAGCCUCUGCUCCCAACCACCA